UUCUAUUCAGUAUUGUGGGAGACGUCAUUUCGAAUUUGGGUUCACAAACUUUCCUAUGGAAUGGGCUGUAGUUGGGAUGUGAAUAAUAAUCUUUAUAACACAAGAACAUUUUGAAUGAUCCGGCUUUGUAUCUUGAUGCAGAUAACCAGAUAUUGGUCUAAUUUGAAUCGAAAUCGAAUAAAAAAAUUUAAGGAUCCAAAUUAGAAUAAGG
rnacentral:misc_RNA from 1 species